UACGGAGGGGGGCUAGCGUUGUUCGGAUUUUACUGGGGCGUAAAAGCGCACGUAGGCGGCGUAUCAAGUCAGAGGUGAAAAGGCCUGGGGCUCAACCUAGGAACGGCCUUUGAUACUGGUAUGCUUGAGUUCGGAAGAGGGUAGUGGAAUUCCAAGUGUAGAGGUGAAAUUCGUAGAUAUUUGGAAGAACACCGGUGGCGAAGGCGGCUACCUGGUCCGAUACUGACGCUGAGGUGCGAAAAGCGUGGGGGAGCGAACAGGAUUAGAUACCCCGGUAGUCC
rnacentral:rRNA from 1 species